rnacentral:rRNA from 1 species
GAGUUUGAUCGUGGCUCAGAACGAACGCUGGCGGCGUGGAUAAGACAUGCAAGUCGAACGGGAGAAUUGCUAGCUUGCUAAUAAUUCUCUAGCGGCGCACGGGUGAGUAACACGUGAGUAACCUGCCCCCGAGAGCGGGAUAGCCCUGGGAAACUGGGAUUAAUACCGCAUAGUAUCGAAAGAUUAAAGCAGCAAUGCGCUUGGGGAUGGGCUCGCGGCCUAUUAGUUAGUUGGUGAGGUAACGGCUCACCAAGGCGAUGACGGGUAGCCGGUCUGAGAGGAUGUCCGGCCACACUGGAACUGAGACACGGUCCAGACACCUACGGGUGGCAGCAGUCGAGAAUCAUUCACAAUGGGGGAAACCCUGAUGGUGCGACGCCGCGUGGGGGAAUGAAGGUCUUCGGAUUGUAAACCCCUGUCAUGUGGGAGCAAAUUAAAAAGAUAGUACCACAAGAGGAAGAGACGGCUAACUCUGUGCCAGCAGCCGCCGCCGU